UACGUAGGGUGCAAGCGUUGUCCGGAAUUAUUGGGCGUAAAGAGCUCGUAGGCGGUCUGUCGCGUCGGCUGUGAAAACCCGGAGCUCAACUCCGGGCCUGCAGUCGAUACGGGCAGACUAGAGUAUUGCAGGGGAGACUGGAAUUCCUGGUGUAGCGGUGAAAUGCGCAGAUAUCAGGAGGAACACCGGUGGCGAAGGCGGGUCUCUGGGCAAUAACUGACGCUGAGGAGCGAAAGCGUGGGGAGCGAACAGG
rnacentral:rRNA from 1 species